rnacentral:rRNA from 1 species
AUGGCGUCGCAGCUUGUCGAGAGCCACCGCACCGGCGCCGAGGUCCACAAAGGGAACGAUAUCUGCAAGCAGAAGACGGUUGAGCUUCUCAAAGAACUCGGCCUCCCGAAAGGUCUCUUUCCUAUGGAUGACAUCGAGGAGGUCGGGCACAAUUGUGAGAGUGGGUUUGUGUGGAUGCUUCAGAAGAAGAAGAACGAGCACACCUUCAAGAAGAUCAACCAGACCGUCUCCUACGACACCGAGGUGACCGCUUUUGUGGAGAAGGGCAAGAUGAAGAAGGUCACCGGGGUCAAGAUUGAGGACCUGUCUUUGGUCGAGGUCUAUAUGGAUGAGUCUUCUGCUGAUAAGGUCACCGUCAAGACCAACACCGGUCUGUCUGACACCCAUGAUGCGACCGUGUUCGCUCUCGGAGAAUAG